rnacentral:rRNA from 1 species
CGAACGCUGGCGGCGUGCUUAACACAUGCAAGUCGAACGGAAAGGCCCUGCUUUUGUGGGGUGCUCGAGUGGCGAACGGGUGAGUAACACGUGAGUAACCUGCCCUUGACUUUGGGAUAACUUCAGGAAACUGGGGUUAAUACCGGAUAGGAGCUCCUGCUGCAUGGUGGGGGUUGGAAAGUUUCGGCGGUUGGGGAUGGACUCGCGGCUUAUCAGCUUGUUGGUGGGGUAGUGGCUUACCAAGGCUUUGACGGGUAGCCGGCCUGAGAGGGUGACCGGCCACAUUGGGACUGAGAUACGGCCCAGACUCCUACGGGAGGCAGCAGUGGGGAAUAUUGCACAAUGGGCGGAAGCCUGAUGCAGCAACGCCGCGUGCGGGAUGACGGCCUUCGGGUUGUAAACCGCUUUCGCCUGUGACGAAGCGUGAGUGACGGUAAUGGGUGAAGAAGCACCGGCUAACUACGUG